rnacentral:tmRNA from 1 species
GGGGCUAGUUAUGGUUUCUAUUGGGAGAUUAGUCCGGUUUAUAUGCUUUCAGGGAGAUGUCUUUGGCUUCCUUAAUCAAGCAAAGACAAAAAUAAAUGCUAAAAAUAGAAUAGCAAAAGGUCUAGCUGCAUUUAAAAACAGCUUUGCUCCUGUAACUGUUGUUGCUUAAUAACACUACAAAACCGUAGCCUUUGCUUUGCAAUGAUGUCAGAUGACUGCUACACUAUUUUUAAAAAAUUUAUCUUUGGUUUUUUAAAAAUUACUUACAAAGAUUUGUAAAAUAAUUUUUUGAGAUUUUCUUUCAUUUUACAAUACUAGAAAAAUUUUAUUUUGAAAUAUUUUUUGUUUAUUUUUUAUUUUUCAAAAUUAUAUAAAAUAAACUAUGAAAGUAGAAGUAUAUUCUUGGCCUCUCAAGACAUGGGUUCAAAUCCCAUUAGUUCCACCA